UACAGAGGGUGCGAGCGUUACUCGGAAUUACUGGGCGUAAAGCGCGCGUAGGCGGCUUUGCAAGUUGGGUGUGAAAUCCCCAGGCUUAACCUGGGAACUGCAUUCGAGACUGCAUUGCUAGAGUAUGGGAGAGGGAAGUGGAAUUUCCGGUGUAGCGGUGAAAUGCGUAGAUAUCGGAAGGAACAUCAGUGGCGAAAGCGACUUCCUGGACCAAUACUGACGCUCAUGUGCGAAAGCGUGGGGAGCAAACAGG
rnacentral:rRNA from 1 species